rnacentral:antisense_RNA from 3 species
CUCGAUGGUGGCUGUGCGCAUGGCACCUUCGGGUGCGCCGGGUUUGACGUAAUCACCGGUCUACUAACUUGCGCACAGCCGCCACCCUU